UUCAAGUAAUCCAGGAUAGGCUGUGGGUACUGAUGUCAGCCUGUUCUUGAUUACUUGGCCU
rnacentral:pre_miRNA from 1 species